GGGUCCGGACACACUGAGGAUUGACAGGCGCUUGUAGUUAUGAGAUUAUUAAUUUAUUAAUAAUUAAAUUUCUGCUAUAAAUAUGCUAGUCCUUUCAUGAUUGUGUGAUAGGUGGUGCAUGGCCGUUCUUAGUUCGUGGAGUGAUCUGUCUGCUUAGUUGCGUUUCACUGUGGACAUUGUUAUAAUAGUGUGUGCACGCAUAACUUCGGUUAUGUUGUUGCCUACUGUUCCAAAUGUCCUGAAGGCAACGAACGUGACCGCAACCUCUUGUUGCCUCUUCCAAAUACUUAUUUUAUUAUCUUUUUUGAUAAUUGAGAUCGGUUUAUAGAGGCUAACUAGAGGGACCGCUGACAACUUUUAAAACAGAGGAAGGUUGCGGCAAUAACAGGUCUGUGAUGCCCUUAGAUGUUCCGGGCUGCACACGUGCUACAAUGAUUAUUGCACUGAGCAUCUAAUUUUAUUAAAAGUUCGUUUGGUUUAAUUUGAUCUUAACAGAUUAAAUAAAACUAACGACAUUUCCUACUUCGAAAGUAAGUAGGU
rnacentral:rRNA from 1 species